rnacentral:lncRNA from 1 species
GGAAUAUGAAGAAAGAAAAAGAUAUUCUGCUUUUGUUAGACGGACAAGUCAAAGGUAAGCCUAACGUCUGCCUGCUGUUGAUUUUUACAGAUUUUUGUAGAAAUUCUAUUUUCUUACAAUUCUCGGAAUUUUAGUUAACGCUCGCCGACGUCAUUAGUUGUUGUUUCAUUAUCACUUCCGUCCUCUGUUAUUUUUUCUUUUUAGUUUCAUAAAACAAUAAAUUUGAUCGGCAGACGAUUGAAUAAACUCCCAAUGAAAACAAACCGGAAACGUUAUAAUUCGAUUGUCCCCAACGUGACGUCACAUCCUGUUACCAUCCUUGAUUUUUCCAGUAAUUAAUACGUUGAGAACGGUGACAAUUAAACGUCCGUUGGUCGGUUCCUUCCCCAACAGAGAGAGAUACACAAACGCCAUUCUCCAUACAAAUUUUAUUGGUAUGUUGUCUACGCUGUAACAGCCAGACGUGGAUACGUUAAUACGUUAAAACUGCGGAAAAUUUUCUUGUUGUGAUGACGUUACUUCGAUGUGACGUGGACAAAGAGAAUAUAGGCGGAUAUUGUUACCCUGCCAACCUGUUAUACCGAACGUGUUCUGUAAAUCUAACUGUCCAACCCACGUUGAGUAUCGAUCCAUUACGGAAUGACACACACUAAAAGAUAGGGAGCAGCGAGAGAUGAUAGUUGCGUGAUUGACUCCCAUAUACAAAGUCAUGAUACCGUCGCUUAUACGUAACGUAUUACUAAUGUUUUAUCCAGAUAACAUUUUUCGACGAUUAAAAAAAGAAAGAAAACCGGCAUUCGAUGGAUCGAACCGGAAACACACCACGGAAAAUUUCCUCGUAUCCGUCUAAUUUGUAAGUGGAUAGGAGAGCGAGCGAGAGAGAGAAAAACCUCUUAUGAAAAUUAAACCGGAGUCAAUGAAAUCGUCAGUUGGUGGGAGGGGAACGAAAACGAAAUAAAAAAAAAAAACAAAUGAAAAAAUUGCAGGAUAGUCGAUCCAAUUACGCGAUUUUUCAAACCACCAAAGCACAGCUCAUCAAUCAUUAAGAGGCAUAUAGGAAAAAGUCCGUUUUAAUGAACCUGUGGUACCCUGGCGUUAAGCAUGGUGAAUCAGAGGUUGAAUUGAAAUCUUUCAAACCGGUUACUGUCAACUAUUUAUCACGGCACAUUUCAGAUCUAAUGUCUUGUUACAAUCGUGUUGAUCUCUAGACGCCCAUGCGGCAUUGUAUCUAGACAAAAGCGUGUCCAAUGUGACAAUUAAGUCUUGUCAUCUUUGUAAUCAUACAGUCGUUGACACUGGCGGUUCUGCGUCCGGUCUACAGAAUUGUUACUUCCGUUCAUUUAUAUAUAUAUUAUAUAUGUAUAUGUAUAUAUAAAUAUACACGCCAUAUAUUAUUUUAAAAGCGAUACUUUGUUCGGAUGCCUUAUUAAUGGCGGCCAACAGCCGAUUUUUCCGUUGGAUCCAGGAAGAUGAAAGGAACUGUGGGUGUCUCGUCCACCAUCUGUCUGUCCUCCUAAUGGGGGACGUUUCACUGUUUACAAACCGUUUUACAAACUUGUUUAGUAGGCUCCACUCUAGUAUAGGACAUAAAAAGAAAGUAACGCUCUUAUUGGAAACAUUAAUUUUGCGGUGUUAUAAUAAAAAAAAAAGUGGAGACGGAUAGAAUAUCUGUCAAGAGACACGAUAAAGUUUAGAGUAAAAUGGAAAAUCUCCGAAUCGGAUGUUCUCACAUAGAAAAACCAUAAUGUGUGUCAAAGUUUAUCGCUCGUCUCCUAUUAAAUUAUACUUCUAGGAUUGUCAGGCAGUGAAGCUGGAGGUCAACACACACACACACAGUCGGUAGAAUAUGAUUUUUUGCUACGAGGAAGCCGUUGGUAGGUCGUUGCCCUCAAUAUUUCCUGAACACAUCGAAAAUAAUAAUAAAUAUAUUUUCCACAUGCUAUAUACCAUUUCUUAAAGAAUUAUCCGUUUUUCGCACGAUAUAUUAUACGCACAGAACUAACCGAGAUAGAUAUCGAUGCGAAAACCAUAGCCAUACAUUCGUUAUUGCUUUUUUUUCUGUCAUAAAACUGGAAAUCACAAGUUCAUAGGAUCACCAUGCGUAAAGAAAGGGAGAGGUUUUUUUUUUUUUUGUUAACAGUCGUAGAAGCGGAACCACGCUUAAGCGAAAUAUUAUUAUAAAAAUUAUCCCGAGACGUUAUGAACAUCAAAAUUGAUAGGACGCGAUGACGGAUAAAGAGGAGUAAUGGAUGAUCCCAUUGAAAGGAAGAGAAGAAAAAAAAAAUAUAAUAAUAAUACAUAAAAGAAAGAACUAUUGAUUUAGACGGAUGCAGGAAUUAAAGUUUUCACAAUACACCAAGAAAAUUUGUAAAUUAGAUUUGUAUAAUUCGAUUUUGUUCUAGCGAUGUGCUCUAGCAUUCUUCUUAAUGGGAAGAUCAACGA